UGGGGAAUAUUGCACAAUGGGCGCAAGCCUGAUGCAGCAACGCCGCGUGAGGGACGACGGCCUUCGGGUUGUAAACCUCUUUUGGCAGGGAAGAAGCGAAAGUGACGGUACCUGCAGAAAAAGCACCGGCUAACUACGUGCCAGCAGCCGCGGUGAUACGUAGGGUGCAAGCGUUGUCCGGAAUUAUUGGGCGUAAAGAGCUCGUAGGCGGUUUGUCGCGUCUGCUGUGAAAACCCGAGGCUCAACCUCGGGCCUGCAGUGGGUACGGGCAAUCUAGAGUGCGGUAGGGGAGAUUGGAAUUCCUGGUGUAGCGGUGGAAUGCGCAGAUAUCAGGAGGAACACCGAUGGCGAAGGCAGAUCUCUGGGCCGUAACUGACGCUGAGGAGCGAAAGCAUGGGGAGCGAACA
rnacentral:rRNA from 1 species